UACGUAGGGUGCGAGCGUUGUCCGGAAUUAUUGGGCGUAAAGGGCUCGUAGGCGGUCUGUUGCGUCGGGAGUGAAAACUCAGGGCUUAACCCUGAGCCUGCUUCCGAUACGGGCAGACUAGAGGUAUGCAGGGGAGAACGGAAUUCCUGGUGUAGCGGUGAAAUGCGCAGAUAUCAGGAGGAACACCGGUGGCGAAGGCGGUUCUCUGGGCAUUACCUGACGCUGAGGAGCGAAGGUGUGGGGAGCGAACAGG
rnacentral:rRNA from 1 species